UACAGAGGUCUCAAGCGUUGUUCGGAUUCAUUGGGCGUAAAGAGCGUGUAGGCGGCCAGGCAGGUCCGCUGUGAAAACUCGAGGCUCAACCUCGAGAUGUCGGUGGAAACCGUCUGGCUAGAGUCCGGAAGAGGAGAGUGGAAUUCCCGGUGUAGCGGUGAAAUGCGCAGAUAUCGGGAAGAACACCCGUGGCGAAGGCGGCUCUCUGGGACGGUACUGACGCUGAGACGCGAAAGCGUGGGGAGCGAACAGG
rnacentral:rRNA from 1 species